rnacentral:rRNA from 1 species
GCUCAGUCAGAGUUUGAUCCUGGCUCAGGACGAACGCUGGCGGCGUGCCUAAUACAUGCAAGUCGAACGCUCUUUUCUACCGAGUGCUUGCACUCAAUUGAAAAGAGGAGUGGCGGACGGGUGAGUAACACGUGGGUAACCUACCCAUCAGAGGGGGAUAACACUUGGAAACAGGUGCUAAUACCGCAUAAUAGUCGACACCGCAUGGUGUUGAUUUGAAAGACGCUUUCGGGUGUCACUGAUGGAUGGACCCGCGGUGCAUUAGCUAGUUGGUGAGGUAACGGCUCACCAAGGCCAUGAUGCAUAGCCGACCUGAGAGGGUGAUCGGCCACACUGGGACUGAGACACGGCCCAG